UUUCAACUGACGAGUCCCAAAUUGGACGAAAUGCGCAUUUCGGAU
rnacentral:hammerhead_ribozyme from 1 species